UACGUAGGGUGCGAGCGUUAAUCGGAAUUACUGGGCGUAAAGCGUGCGCAGGCGGUUUUGUAAGACAGGCGUGAAAUCCCCGAGCUCAACUUGGGAAUUGCGCUUGUGACUGCAAGGCUAGAGUGUGUCAGAGGGGGGGUAGAAUUCCACGUGUAGCAGUGAAAUGCGUAGAGAUGUGGAGGAAUACCGAUGGCGAAGGCAGCCCCCCUGGGACAUGACUGACGCUCAUGCACGAAAGCGUGGGGGAGCAAACAGG
rnacentral:rRNA from 1 species